UACGGAGGAUGCGAGCGUUAUCCGGAUUUAUUGGGUUUAAAGGGUGCGCAGACGGAACUGCAAGUCUGAUGUGAAAUCCCGGGGCUCAACCGCGGGACUGCAUUGGAAACUGUAGAUCUGGAGUGCCGGAGGGGCAAGCGGAAUUCCUGGUGUAGCGGUGAAAUGCGUAGAUAUCAGGAGGAACACCGGCGGCGAAGGCGGCUUGCUGGACGGCAACUGACGUUGAGGCUCGAAAGCGUGGGGAGCAAACAGGAUUAGAUACCCU
rnacentral:rRNA from 1 species